GCCAAUGUCUACAGCAACCCUGAAUGCAUGAGAUCUCAUCUGAUCUCGGAAGCUAAGCAAGGUCGGCUCUGGUGAGUACUUGGAUGGGAGACCGCCUGGGAAUACUGGGUGCUGUGGGCU
rnacentral:rRNA from 1 species